CCCUUCCCUAAUUCGCUAGAGCGCUAAUGGAACUAUAAAUAUCUCCUUUAGGAGCAACUUAGGAAUCUACUGAAGCAUCAUCCCCAUAGUCUUCUACUCGAUCCCUCGCCCUGGGCUUGCUUAUAAAAGGCGUAUCUACUUAGUUUUGCAACUAAGGAAGUAACGUGAGCAACUUCCUAAGCCUAAGCAAUACUAGUAAACUCAAAAGCCUAAGCCUUUGUUUCCGACUCAAAAGUGGAAUCCUCUGAAGUAAACUCAAAAGUGGAAGUUGUUGAAUCCUAAUCUGUUACCUCCCCUUCAAGUGGGUCCCUUUGCUUAUUCUGCAAAGCAGCCUUCUCCUUUAUUACCUCCUGAAUCCCCAAAAGCAGCAUUAUCUCCUUUAGGACCUGCCGGAUCUACUUUCUCUCCUUUUUUAGGAAGUGUGAACAAAUGUCUCUCCUUUUGAAGCCCCAUAUGCAUCACCCUAGUUUUUAUACUGUCUCGUAUGAUUCUUCUGCCUGAAAAGCCUCGAAUCCCUCUGGGUUCCCUCCUUUCUCUCCUUUAUCAGGAGCUGAAGAGUUUGAAGCAUCUGAAGCAGCUGAAGAGUUUGAAUCCUCCCCCUAGUAUUCUACUUUAGUAUCAACAGGAACACGCUUUGCCUCAUUGGAAGAUAUGAAUGAAGAGGUGAGGAAAGCAAAUUGGAAGCCUCUUGCGCUUACUAGAACAGGUCCUUUCCUUUCUCAUGUUUGCUUUGCACACGAUAUAAUGUUGUUUGGGGAAGCAAGUGAGGAACUGCUGCGAGUUAUGAUGGGGGUAUUGGAUUCUUUCUGUUCGGCUUCAGGGUCAAAGGUCAGCCUUCAAAAACCCAAAUUCUUUGUUUCAAAAAAUAUAUGCCAUUCUCGAGCAGUGGCUUUGAGUUCUUCUUGUCAGAUUCCCCUUACGUUACGGAUCUUGGCAAAUAUCUUGGUGCGCCAAUGAUCCAUGGAAGGGUGAUUAAACAAACCUACAAAGAUUUGAUAAGCAGAAUGCAAGCUCGGUUAGCUUUUUGGGAGAAAAACUUUCUAUCAAUGGCUGGUAGACUGAUUCUUGUACAGUGAGUUUGAUGCUCUAUCCCGAAUUACUUGAUGCAAACCUUUGACUUACCUGAUGGUGUUGUCCAAUAAAUUAAUAGAAUUCAAUAGAAUGAUUCGUGGCUUCUUAUGGGGUGAGACUAGUGGUGUUAGGAAAAUUAAUUCUAUUGCAUGGGAAAGAGUUUGCUUACCUAAGGAGCAAGGUGGUCUUAAUGUGAGAGAUACGCGUAAGGUGAAUUUGGCUCUUUUAGCAAAGUUGGGAUGGCAGAUUCUCUCUAAUAAAAAUUCCUUGUGGAUUGAAGCAGUUAAGAAGAAAUAUUUGAAGAAUGAGAAUUGAGUUUCGGUCUCUACUACAAGCUCUUGUUCUAGCACUUGGAGAAGUAUCUUGAAAGGGCGUUCUGUCCUUGAGCAGGGGCUUGGAAAAUUGGUGAGGAGUGGGAAGUCUACAAAGUUUUGGUUGGAUUCAUGGCUGCCAUGUGGCCCUCUAUUACCUCAUGCAAAAGUGGUGAUUGAGUGGGCAACAUGUUGCUGAAGAUUGAUUUAGAGAAGGCUUAUGACCGUAUUAGUUGGCACUUUUUGCGUUGGGUGCUGAUUGACUUGGGACUUCCUUCAACUCUCAUUUCUCUUAUUAUGUUCUGUCUGACUUCUACAGAAAUGAAUUUUUUGUGGAAUGGUGAAAUGACUUCUUACUACAAACCAUCUCGUGGAUUGAGACAAGGCGAUCCUUUGUCUCCAUAUCUUUUUGUUUUAUGUCUUCAAAAGCUUGAAGAUAUGAUUGAGAUGGCUGUUCA